UGGCGCACGGGUGAGUAACACGUGAGAAUCUGCCUUAUGGACUGGGAUAGCCCAUGGAAACAUGGGGUAAUACCGGAUAUGCUUUUUAGUGAGAGGUAACGACUGCCAUAAGAUGAGCUUGCGGUCCAUUAGCUAGUUGGUAAGGUAAUGGCUUACCACGGCGACGAUGGAUAGCCGGCCUGAGAGGGUGAUCGGCCACAUUGGGACUGAGACACGGCCCAGACUCCUACGGGAGGCAGCAGCUAAGAAUCUUCCGCCAUGGGAGGAAUCCUGACGGAGCGACGCCGCGUGGGUGAAGAAGGCGGAAACGUUGUAAAUCCCUUUUAUGUGGGAAGAAUAAUGUCUUUUUGACAGAUGACGGUACCACAUGAAUAAGCCUCGGCUAACUACGUGCCAGCAGCCGCGGUAAUACGUAGGAGGCAAGCGUAGUUCGGAAUUAUUGGGCGUAAAGGGCUCGGUAGGCUGUUAUACAAGUGUGGAUUUAAAUCUUGGGGCUAAACCCCAUAGCUGGUCUGCAAACUGUAUAGCUGGAGUUCAGAAGGGG
rnacentral:rRNA from 1 species